AUUGAACGCUGGCGGCAGGCCUAACACAUGCAAGUCGAGCGAGCGGCGGACGGGUGAGUAAUGUCUGGGAAACUGCCUGAUGGAGGGGGAUAACUACUGGAAACGGUAGCUAAUACCGCAUACCCUCAGAUGUGCCCAGAUGGGGUUAGCUAGGAGGUGGGGUAACGGGUAACCUAGGCGACGAUACCUAGCUGGUCUGAGAGGAUGACCAGCCACACUGAAAAUGAGACAAGGUCCAGACUCCGACGGGAGGGAGCAGUGGGGAAUAUUGCACAAUGGGCGCAAGCCUGAUGCAGCCAUGCCGCGUGUGUGAAGAAGGCCUUCGGGGUGUAAAGCACUGUCAGCGGGGAGGCGUUACCCGCAGAAGAAGCACCGGCUAACUCCGUGCCAGCCGCCGCGGUAAUUC
rnacentral:rRNA from 1 species